AUUGAACGCUGGCGGCAUGCUUUACACAUGCAAGUCGAACGGUAACAGGGAGCUUGCUCCGCUGACGAGUGGCGAACGGGUGAGUAAUGCGUCGGAACGUGCCGAGUAGUGGGGGAUAACGCAGCGAAAGUUGUGCUAAUACCGCAUACGUACUGAGGUAGAAAGUGGGGGACCUUCGGGCCUCACGCUAUUCGAGCGGCCGACGUCUGAUUAGCUAGUAGGUGAGGUAAAGGCUCACCUAGGCGACGAUCAGUAGCGGGUCUGAGAGGAUGAUCCGCCACACUGGGACGGAGACACGGCCCAGACUCCUACGUGAGGCAGCAGUGGGGAAUUGUGGACAAUGGGCGAAAGCCUGAUCCAGCCAUGCCGCGUGUCUGAAGAAGGCCUUCGGGUUGUAAAGGACUUUUGUCGGGGAGGAAAUCCCCAGCGCUAAUACCGCUGGGGGAUGACAGUACCUGAAGAAUAAGCACCGGCUAACUACGUGCCAGCCGCCGCAGUAAAAC
rnacentral:rRNA from 1 species